CGUGUAGGCGGAUUGGUAAGUUGGCUGUGAAAGCUCCUGGCUUAACUGGGAGAGGUCGGUCAAUACUGUCAGUCUAGAGUAUGUGAGAGGGAAGUGGAAUUCCGGGUGUAGUGGUGAAAUGCGUAGAUAUCCGGAGGAACACCAGAGGCGAAAGCGGCUUCCUGGCACAUAACUGACGCUCAGACGCGAAAGCUAGGGAGCGAACA
rnacentral:rRNA from 1 species